rnacentral:rRNA from 1 species
AUUGAACGCUGGCGGCAGGCCUAACACAUGCAAGUCGAGCGGAUGAAGGGAGCUUGCUCCUGGAUUCAGCGGCGGACGGGUGAGCAAUGCCUAGGAAUCUGCCUGGUAGUGGGGGAUAACGUCCGGAAACGGGCGCUAAUACCGCAUACGUCCUGAGGGAGAAAGUGGGGGAUCUUCGGACCUCACGCUAUCAGAUGAGCCUAGGUCGGAUUAGCUCGUUGGUGGGGUAAAGGCCUACCAAGGCGACGAUCCGUAACUGGUCUGAGAGGAUGAUCAGGCACACUGGAACUGAGACACGGGCCAGACUCCUACGGGAGGCAGCAGGGGGGAAUAUUGGACAAGGGGCGAAAGGCUGAUGCAGCCAUGCGGGGUGUGUGAAGAAGGUCUUCGGAUUGUAAAGCACUUUAAGUUGGGAGGAAGGGGAGUAAGUUAAUACCUUGGUGUUUUGACGUGACGAACAGAAUAAGCACCGGCUAGCUUCGU